rnacentral:lncRNA from 1 species
CGCGCGGAGCUCGCGGUGACACCCGCUCCUCGUCCGCAGCCGGCGGCCGUUUCCUCUCUCGUCUCCCGAAGUUUGGGAGGUGAGAGGCUGGACGAGCGAGCGGGGUGGGAGCUGGAAUUCUCCGAUCCCCUCCUGCCCCUGGCGAAUCUCUCGGGUUUGGGGGGCCCGGGGCCGGUGCGGCCACGCAUGAGAACAGAUCGAAUCACUGUGGAUUGA